rnacentral:rRNA from 1 species
AUUGAACGCUGGCGGCAGGCUUAACACAUGCAAGUCGAGCGGGGUGAGGUGCUUCGGUACUGAUCCUAGCGGCGGACGGGUGAGUAAUGCUUAGGAAUCUGCCUAUUAGUGGGGGACAACAUUCCGAAAGGAAUGCUAAUACCGCAUACGUCCUACGGGAGAAAGCAGGGGAUCUUCGGACCUUGCGCUAAUAGAUGAGCCUAAGUCGGAUUAGCUAGUUGGUGGGGUAAAGGCCUACCAAGGCGACGAUCUGUAGCGGGUCUGAGAGGAUGAUCCGCCACACUGGGACUGACACACGGCCCAGACUCCUACGUGAGGCAGCAGUGUGGAAUAUUUGACAAUGGGCGGAAGCCUGAUCCAGCCAUGCCGCGUGUGUGAAGAAGGCCUUUUGGUUGUAAAGCACUUUAAGCGAGGAGGAGGCUACCUAGAUUAAUACUCUGGGAUAGUGGACGUUACUCGCAGAAUAAGCACCGGCUAACUCUGUGCCAGCCGCCGCUAAUAC